CCCCGCCCCCUCGCCUGUCCGCGGCUGGGCUCCUCACGGGGGUGGCCCCGAGGGAGGGGCGCUGGGGGGGGGGGCGGGGAUGGACCCCGCGAGCUGCGGAAAGGCCCCCGCCGGGGGCGGUGAAGCGGCCUCGCGGGGGACCCCUCUGGCGCCAGCCGGGAGGAAGGGGUGGACUACUCCGGCUGCUGCAGUGUGAACCAAAUCCGAAAGGAGGCGGGCGUCGGGUGCUGGAACCUUGGCGAGGGGGGCAUGCUCUGCGCGCACCGCCAGCCCUCUCCUGGGCGAGGAAAACGCUGCUUUAGGAGUGCACUGGUCCCCUAGCUCUGCAAAAGAGGACCCAACAGGUGGCUUCAAGGGGAGAAGAUUGUGGGUGCUACGAGAUAUGAGGGAGAUGGGAGAGGCUUCAAUGGAAUUGGAAAAAGGGAUAUAUCCCAGCAAUCAUAAUACAGUGCCUGCCCCAGGAGAAAGAGAAUGGAAGACCUCCUCCUGUCUCCAAUGACUCUUGGAAGACCCAGGGCUGACAACCAAGAGCCUAGAUUGUCACUGGGACACUUUCUUCCACACACCAUUUGUCUUCCAUCUGUCGCCUUGCCCUAAGACCAAAUUCCAGUGGGAUGCAUGGCCGUAUCAUUGAUGUCCCCAGUCCUUGGAUAUCAGCCUGUGGCAGGUUUUUUUUUUGUCCCACUUCCUCUUCAUAACCCCUGUCUGACUUUCUCAAAAGAAUGUAACCCUCCUUAGGCAUCACGCUAUUUAUCUAUGAUAGGCUGCAAAGAGGCAGUUAAGAAGGUUGGCAUCUGUAUGGUGAGAUGCAAGUUGAAUGGUUCUCACUUGUUUUCCUCUAGUAUGUAUUAGGAAAACAUCAGAAACACUUUUCAUUGGCAAACAUACAUCCAAUUCCCACAAACAGAAUCUAAAGCCAUGUCCAAUAUCCUCUGAGUCCAUAGAGAAGUUUCUUAUUGUUUAUUUUAUUUUAGUAUUUUCCUCUAACCACAAGGAAGAUGAUCACUUGGCAGCUGUGAUGAGAAGAGUCCAGGCCGAAGUCUGACAGACCUAGAUUCCAAAUCUUCUAACUCUUCUCUAUACUGUGUGACCUUGAGAAAAUACUGAACCUCUCCUCUCUGGGCGAUAUUUUCCUCACGUGCAAAAAGGGACAAUUUCUUUUGAAAAUAAUGAAUGCAAAACACCUUGUUAAUAAUUAUUAUGAUUAUAGCAAAUAAUUUUUUAAGAUUUUAUUUAUUCAUUUAUCAGAGAGAGAGAAAGAACAAGCAGGGGGAGCAGCAGGUAGAGAGGGAGAAGCAGGCUCCCUGCCCAGUGGUGACCGGAUGCAGGGUUUUUUUUGUUUGUUUUUUGGGGUAUUUUUUUGGGGGGGGUUUGUUUUCUUUGCCAAUAGUAGGUUAUAUCAAUUUAUUUCACAUAAGAACAGCAGAUUUCAGGCCUAUGAUUUCAGGUUUUGAUCCCAGGGUCCUGGGAUCAUGACCUGAGCCAAUGGCAGACAUUUAAACAACGGUGCCACCCAGGCACCCAAUGGCAAAUAAUUCUUUAUUCUUUUUUUCCCUUAAAAUCUUCCAUCACCUUUAAACAAAAUAAGAGCAAAAUAAUUGUAUUUCUUAUAAUCUUUCAUCUCUCUAAGAACAAAAAGCCUAACUGUGUGCGUGUGGCUGCACCUGUCUGUUCACUUGCAUAGUGUCACCAUUUCCCAGGAAUCAAUACAAUUAUUUGCCCCUAGACAUAGUUUCCCAGCAACACACAUCUUGAACCAAUUCAGCUGAAUUUCCUUUGUCAUUUAUUGCCACCUGGCUCCUGCAUCAAGUGACUCUGUAACCUUCCACAAACAUUAGGAGUAUGCCUACUUAAGGGAAAUGAGUAAAUAUUAUGUUUAUACACUGUCUUUCUCUUGGGAUUUUACGAUACAGAGCAAAAAGCCAUAGCCAAAGCCACCAUAGUCUGUUCAAAGGCAGCUGGGUAGGUAUUUUGGUGCCACGCAAACAGAGCAGAACAAAUUCUCUCCCAGGGUUUUCUGACUGGGAGGAAAGGCAGGACUUGCAACAACUAUUGAUGAUCAAGAGAGACCCAGGAAAUAAUCUGAUUUUUCUGCACAAGAGUCUACCUUGACAUCUUCUCUUUCUUUCCACUGGGAACAGGCUGACAAGUACCUUUAAGGCAAAACAACAGUCAAGUUAUUGCCAAACAGUAAUUUAGCAAAUAGUAUAUAAUUUUUCCAUGUUUCAAGUGUAAAUAUCCUUCACUUUAAAUUCUCUUUAUCUUUCCAAAUCAAAUUUUUAAAAAAUAUUUUAUAUAUUUAUUUGACAGACAGAGAUCACAACUAGGCAGAGAGGCAGAGAGAGAGGAAGGGAAGCAGGUUCUCCGCUGAGCAGAGAGCUCGAUGCGGGGCUCUAUCCCAGGACCCUGAGAUCAUGACCUGAGACGAAGGCAGAGGCUUUAACCCACUGAGCCACCCAGGCUCCUCCCAAAUCAAAUUUUUAAAACUUUAUUUUGUUUGGAUUCUUGUAGGCAAGAUGUUUACCUUGGUAUUCACUAUGUGAUUGCUAAGCAAAUUAAUCAUUUUAAAAUAAUAAUGUACAGUUUUUUUUAUUUGAAAAAUAAUGAUAGAUGUUUUUGAUAGGGUUAAAAUCUCCUAUAACUUCACCACAAUUGUUAUCAAUUUGCUAUAUUUCUUUUUAAUCUUUUUACUUUCCUAUAUAUAGAUGGUUAUUUUUAUUUCAUAUUGUUAUAUUCCAUUGGCAACCUGCUUUGUAUUCUAUGAAUUUUUCCAUGUUACAACAAAAUUUUUGUAGCCACUUAAAAAAAAAUAGCUUACUAUCCAGUUAAUUUGAUCAAUCUCUUAUUAACAAUAGAGUACAUCAUUAUCCACUAUCACUCAAGGAUAAUCACUUUCAAAUGACCUUUGCCAGGGUCUUAAAUUUGUACCAGGUAUAGAUAAGUAAAUUACUCUUUACUUUUAAGGUACUUUUCCUUAGCUUGUACUUGAAAAAAUCUGUAUUACAAAUGAUGUGAACUUGCAUAAGUUAUUUAGCUUCUAAACUCAGCCCUUUUAUGUGUAAAAAAUGAGGAUGAUAAUAGAACCGCAUUAGAAGAUGAUGUGAUAUUGGGCACCUGGGUGGCUCAGUGGGUUAAACCACUGCCUUCGGCUCAGGUCAUGAUCUCAGGGUCCUGGGAUCAAGUCCCGCAUUGGGCUCUCUGCUCAGCAGGGAGCCUGCUUCCCUUCCUCUCUCUCUGCCUGCCUCUCUGCCUACUUGUGAUCUCUCUCUGUUAAAUAAAUAAAAUCUAAAAAAAAAAAAAAAAAAGAUGAUGUGAGAUCAAUUCCUCUCAUAUACUAAGCAA